AAUUCGAUUCGGGUGUGACAAGGCCCGGGAACGUAUUCACCGCGGGCGUGCUGAUCCGCGAUUACUAGCGAUUCCAACUUCAAGCAGGCGAGUUGCAGCCUGCUAUCCGAACUGAGACCGACUUUCUCCGAUUAGCUCCACCUUGCGGCUUUGCAACGGUUUGUAUCGGCCAUUGUAGCACGUGUGUAGCCCCAGACAUAAAGGCCAUGCUGACUUGACGUCAUCCCCACCUUCCUCCGGUUUAUCACCGGCAGUCUUUGCAGAGUGCCCAGCAUUACCUGAUGGCAACAGCAAACAAGGGUUGCGCUCGUUGCGGGACUUAACCCAACAUCUCACGACACGAGCUGACGACAGCCAUGCAGCACCUCUACAAGUGCCCUUGCGGGAGCUCCCUUUCGGGAGUGGUCACUCGCAGUUCAAGCCUGGGUAAGGUUCUUCGCGUUAAUCACUA
rnacentral:rRNA from 1 species